rnacentral:rRNA from 1 species
AACGAACGCUGGCGGCAUGCCUAACACAUGCAAGUCGAACGAGACCUUCGGGUCUAGUGGCGCACGGGUGCGUAACGCGUGGGAACCUGCCCUUAGGUUCGGAAUAACUCCCCGAAAGGGGUGCUAAUACCGGAUAAUGUCUUCGAACCAAAGAUUUAUCGCCUUUGGAUGGGCCCGCGUUGGAUUAGCUAGUUGGUAGGGUAAAAGCCUAUCAAGGCGACGAUCCAUAGCUGGUCUGAGAGGCUGAUCAGCCACACUGGGACUGAGACACGGCCCAGACUCUUACGGGAGGCAGCAGUGGGGAAUAUUGCACAAUGGGCUAAAGCCUGAUCCAGCAAUGACGCGUGAGUGAUGAAGGCCUUAGGGUUGUAAAGCUCUUUUACCCGGGAUGAUAAUGACAGUACCGGGAGAAUAAGCCCCGGCUAACUCCGUG